rnacentral:tRNA from 1 species
GCCCCGAUAGCUCAGAUGGAUAGAGCGACUCCCUCCUAAGGAGUAGGCCCCAGGUUCGAAUCCUGGUCGGGGCGCUA